rnacentral:rRNA from 1 species
AUAGCUUGCUAACUCCUGUUUCUAGCGGCGGACGGGUGAGUAACGCGUGAGCAACCUGCCUUUAUCAGGGGGAUAACGCAUCGAAAGAUGUGCUAAUACCGCGUAAGACCACAGCUUCACAUGGAGCAGGGGUCAAAGGAGCAAUCCGGAUAAAGAUGGGCUCGCGUCCGAUUAGCUAGUUGGUGAGAUAACAGCCCACCAAGGCGACGAUCGGUAGCCGACCUGAGAGGGUGAUCGGCCACAUUGGAACUGAGAAACGGUCCAGACUCCUACGGGAGGCAGCAGUGGGGAAUAUUGGGCAAUGGAGGCAACUCUGACCCAGCAACGCCGCGUGAGUGAUGAAGGUCUUCGGAUUGUAAAGCUCUGUGAUGGGAGACGAAGAAAGUGACGGUAUCCCAAUAGCAAGCCUCGGCUAACUACGUGCCAGCAGCCGCGGUAAUACGUAGGAGGCAAGCGUUAUCCGGAAUGACUGGGCGUAAAGGGUGCGUAGGUGGCUUGGCAAGUUGGUAGCGUAAUUCCGAGGCUCAACCUCGGCGCUACUACCAAAACUGUCAGGCUCGAGUGCAGGAGGGGUAAGUGGAAUUCCUAGUGUAGCGGUGGAAUGCGUAGAUAUUAGGAGGAACAUCGGUGGCGAAGGCGACUUACUGGACUGUAACUGACACUGAAGCACGAAAGCGUGGGGAGCAAACAGGAUUAGAUACCCUGGUAGUCCACGCCGUAAACGAUGUAUGCUAGGUGUAGGGGGUAUCGACUCCCUCUGUGCCGACGUUAACACAUUAAGCAUACCGCCUGGGGAGUACGGCCGCAAGGUUGAAACUCAAAGAAAUUGACGGGGACCCGCACAAGCAGCGGAGCAU